rnacentral:rRNA from 1 species
CACGCCGUAAACGAUGAAUACUCGCUGUUUGCGAUAUACUGCAAGCGGCCAAGCGAAAGCAUUAAGUAUUCCACCUGGGGAGUACGUUCGCAAGAAUGAAACUCAAAGGAAUUGACGGGGGCCCGCACAAGCGGAGGAACAUGUGGUUUAAUUCGAUGAUACGCGAGGAACCUUACCCGGGUUUGAAAUGCAAUCGACCGAUUAUGAAAGUAGUUUUCCAGCAAUGGCGAUUGUGUAGGUGC